rnacentral:miRNA from 1 species
UGAUGGUAAUAAUGAUAAUAAUAAUGAUGAUGAUGAUAAUCAUCAUCAUCAUCAUCAUCAUCAUCCUAG